rnacentral:tRNA from 1 species
GGAAGGCAUUCGUAUCCGGUGGUACGGCCGGGCUUCAAACCCGGUUGGGGGUGUCAGACACUCCUGGGUAGGUUCGACUCCUGCUGCCUUCCGCCA